UUUGCAUGUGUUGCACAGCUCACUUAGGCAGUGAAAUGCGGUAGGCCUAAGACGCUGACUCGUGGUUCACGCCGGCAUACCACGAUACCAAGAGGAUUUUAAUUAUGUAAUUAUCACAUGGACACUUUGGGACUUUCAUUCCCUCAUGGUUGUGUGCAGCCAACGAGAAAAGGAGCACUGAAGAGAUUUGGUGCAAACAGUCUUCAGACAUUCUCCAUCACUGCUGAGGGUCAGCAGUUUUCACGGUGCCAAGGUGACGAUGAUGGAUUAAAAGUUGAACGUAUGCUGGUUUGGCGAACUAAAUAAAGAAC